CAAAAUGAGUGAGAACUCACUACCGUCUCCUCAUCGAAACUGAGGUCU
rnacentral:snoRNA from 1 species